rnacentral:tRNA from 1 species
GGCGCUGUGGCACAGUGGGUUAAUGCGCUGGCCUGAAGUGCCAGCAUCCUAUAUGGACAGCUGGUUCUAGUCCUGGCUGCUCCU